GAAUCCCAUCAUGCUUCUCAGAUUUUUCACAAAGGAGGUUUUAGGUCUUUAAGUGCAUUUUUGCUUAAGGUUAAAAGAAAAGUCCAUCAUUCGUUUAAUAAUAAAACUCUUUGAAUAAAAACUUUAAAUGCUGUGCAACAAUGCUGCCUAAAAACUGUUGUAGUCAGAGCAGAACAUGUUUUUUCCUUUGUGCUGGUUAUUCAAUUACAUCUGAGUAGGAAAAGCUUGCAUUUAUGGCACUUUAGCAGAAUGUAAGCCAGUUCAACUUAAAUGCCUUCAAGCAAAUGCUCAGAGCCAUAAGGCAGUUCCAUUAGGACCGCUUCAUUCUUCCACCAGACUCUAUGACUGCCGUGUGCCUGCCCUGAAGGGAAGGCCCGUCUGCCAGGCACACUGGCACAUGCCUGCAAACACCAAUGGAGAGAGGUUGGUGUGUGUGAUUCCUGGACCAGGAUCUGCUUUAAGAGGGCACCUGGGGGAAUGUGGGAGAAAAACCACCAGGCUGACGCCAGAUGCCACCUUUGAAAAUCUCUAGGCCAUAUUACUUUCAAACCAACCUGCUGACUCGGGAUCUGCUUUCACAGCCACUCGAACCAGCUGCCCAAAUUGGCUGUGAGAGUGGUUUCUGCGACCUGGGGAUGCUCAUUGAGGGAUGCAGGAAAGCUGGGAGGCUGAAAUGCAAGUAAAGUCCAUGGAGGGACAGCACUGGGUCACACUGACUAGCAGGCCUCAGCGAUCAAACAUGUCACACCUGUCUUGGCCACUGGUGCAGGUGUUCUAGGUCAGCUCUCACUGUGGUUAUCAAUCGCUGACAGUUGACAGUUUAAUUUUACACCACAAGUACCUCAUUACUUGUGUAGGCACUUGAAGAACAUGUGGGCACUGGAUCGGAUCAGUGAUCAAUGACAAAGGUUGCAUAGGGUGCAAGUGGUAGCAGUAAAAGUGAAGGUCUCCGUGCAUGAGUUGGCAGUGGUAGGGAUACAUGACAAGGGGAGUUUAACUGACAAACAGUCUGUCAGGUUGAAAAGAAUGGAGAUUUGCCAGUGAGCUAGCUGUAGAUUAUAAAAUAUAUCUCUUGAUUUGAGGGAAAGGAAGGGGAAAAAUACCCCACCCCAAGUAGAGACUUCCAUUCUUGAAAGUGCUUACGCAAAUCUAAUGAAUGUGUGGGGCUGUAAAUUUUUAUUCUACCAGCAUUUAUCUCAUGGUGUACAUGCAUUCAGGUGUGUAGGGAUUUAAGAUUAGCAGGAUGCACUGAUGCUAUUUUAUAAAGGUAUGUGUGUGUGUGUGUGUGUGUGUGUGCGCGUAUGCUCAUAUAUCAAACCAAUUCCACCAAACCAGACCUGUGGCUGUUUUAGAUUGUUCCAUGACAGGUUAUUGUGGAUAUUCAAUAAGAAAGUCAGUCCAUAUAAGUCCCUUUCUUCUUGUAUUUCUAUUUUUUUUUGUGUGUGUGUGGCAUUGGGGAUUAAACUGAGGGCCUCAUGCAUGCUAUAUGAGCACUGAGCUACAUACAUCCCUAGCUCUUCUUUACUUUUUUUUUUUUUUAAUUUUGAGACAGG
rnacentral:lncRNA from 1 species